rnacentral:tRNA from 1 species
GCCUGGUUAGCUCAGAGGAAGAGCACUCCCUCGAUAAGGGAUAGGUCGGGAUUUCGAAACUCCCACUAGGCACCA